rnacentral:lncRNA from 1 species
GUUCAGCUCAAAAGACCUUACGGGUUGGAGGAUGGGACAAGACCCAUCCCUGCAAAGUAAGCAUUCCAGUGAUGCUCCAGGUGGGUAUGCAGUGAUUUACCGCAGUUAAGGGUGGGCACUGUGUCUAGAUGGGGUUUGUUCUUGUUCAGAUUAUGCUGACCACUCUGUGAUGAACAUAAAAAAAGACAAGCAUAUGGCUGAUCUUAAAAGUGAUGUCAUCUUCCUGCUGAGAAGUGGACCAAGAGUAUUCAAGGACCUAUGAAUGGCUAUUUUUAGGUACAUAUAAUGCCUUUUCUGUUUCCAGCAUCUCCUCCCCAAGCCUGAGGAAUCCAGCUGCCUCCAAGGGUGAAGACAGGUAAUUUUUUGACCAGAUGAGGGGAUUGGAGUGUCCUCUCCUGUUUGGCCUACAACCAGGAGAGCAAAAUGAGCAGUUUUGCCUUUUUGCUUCUUGCAGCUUAUUCCUCUUAGAAUGACUUUCCUGUGGAGGGAAAGAGCAACCCAACAGUACAGUUAAUUCUUGAGAUGGUGUGCUCUCCCUCACCCAUAUGUCACUGUCAGAUGAUUUGAAUAGAUAUGCUGAUCCUCUGUGAGGUACAACAAUUAAUAGCAUGUUAGAGUUCUGAUGGCAGUUUCUAUUAAUGAAGAAACUUUGUUCUAGCCUAGUACUUUUUGAUAACCAUCUGGUCUCCUUUUGCAGGUCGUCCUGAUGGUGGUAAUAUGUUGAUUUACAUUAUGGUGAGUAGCUUCUCCUAAUACUGUUGUUUUGUUAGCGUAUAUGUGAACCCAUCAAAGGGUGAUUUUUUUU